rnacentral:rRNA from 1 species
GGAGCUUGACGGUACUGUAAGAAUAAGGAUCGGCUAACUCCGUGCCAGCAGCCGCGGUAAUACGGAGGAUCCAAGCGUUAUCCGGAAUCAUUGGGUUUAAAGGGUCCGUAGGCGGUUUGGUAAGUCAGUGGUGAAAGCCCAUCGCUCAACGGUGGAACGGCCAUUGAUACUGCCAGACUUGAAUUACUGGGAAGUAACUAGAAUAUGUAGUGUAGCGGUGAAAUGCUUAGAGAUUACAUGGAAUACCA